CGUACCCAUGGGCAAUCAUAUCCUCACUCAACUCUGCGAAUGAGGAAUCCACAUUCAGUAAUACUAUUAUCACUUCGCCAUCCGGAUCGAUCACGUGAGUCGGCAAAUUCAUGGCGCAAUUCUGGUGCUAAAGUCUUUCCAAGUAAGAGAUACAAAGUUUUGGGGAAUGCCAGAAAACAAUAUUAGUUACCACACGACCCGACCCCACUGGCAGAGUCGGAAGAACUAUUUUCCGUGACUUGUAGCCUCAGGCAUCCGCAACUGUGCAUCCUUUCUGUACACCGGUUGCCGUAGCUCAAUCAAUCACUUACCUAUGCCGAGCGGCCCGUCUAGCACAUAUUCCCUAGACUUAAAUAGUCAAGGACGAUAUACUAGUCCUUUGGAUGUGGAGCUCAACAAAUACGUAGUAUACGGUGUACGAGGGUUGAGUUCAGAACCGCACAAGUCUAAUUUAAGCUCGACAUAGGAUAUUUGUCGUAAAUAGACAGACGUAGGAUAGGCGCCUACAGGGGAUCACUACGACGUCAGCAAUAGACCGACAGCGGAAAUUUACCUACAAAGGAUUGCUACGAUAUCGUAAAAAGACCGACAUAGGGUUGGUGCCCUCAGAGGAUUGUUGCAAUAUCGUAAAUCGUUCGACAUAGGCUAGCCGCCCGUGCAUUGGCGAUUUUUCGACAAUUUGAUAAUCUAGAACAUUCCGACCGAUGAGUCACAAUUUGCCUAGCAAGAGACAGUGACGUCAUAUAUAGAAGUAAUUUGAACAAGAAGACACUCUAGGCUGUGAAGCACUAAGCCAGGACUGGAGACAUGAUAAUACGUGACUUGCACCAUGGCGAUAGUGGCCAAUGAUGUCGCUAAAAUGACCGCACGGGGACAAGUCCGGAAAGCGAGUGUUGAAUAUCUCGGUGGAUGUAUUGUUCCGGCAAAGAUGUGGGUCUGUGCACAUAAGGUAUAUAACCAGUCCAUCAGCCCCUCAAGAUUAGAAGCACAAUGAACCACUUUGACAUGCAACACUAACCAUUGUAACUGUUGAGACCCACAUCUUUAUCGGAACAACACAGCCACCGAGAUAUCCAACAGUAACAGGAAGCGUUCCCGAUGAUUCCUGCACUCAGGAUGGGGGACAUGAGGAGGUGGCUUCAGGUCUGUUCCCGGCCGAGUUGCGAAGGCCCGGGUUCAGUAGGGACCCAGGCUUCAGCGGGACCCACGAGGUUGCACCCAGGUGCAACCUGCGUCCAAGUGCAAACUCCUGGGUCGAGGAUAGGUCUAGGUGCACAGAUCCAGGGCGGCGGACCGGGAAAUACCAUACUAAGUCCGGGAGCUUAGGUCUUUCAACCUAAAACGAUAGACCUAGAUCUGCAGAGGAUUUGGUUCCGUGGACCUAGGUCUAAAUCAGACAAACCAAUCACCAAUGUCCCGGUGGGGUCUGGGUCUGGCGCAGACUUAAAUCCACAGAAACGGGUGGACAGUGGCACCUGGAUCCGUCCUGGAAGCUCCCGUGUCUCCAUGGCCCCGGCCAUGGAGACCAGCCAGCUACCUGGCUGUCGCUGUGCCUCCUCAGUGGCCGUUGAGCCUAAGGAGCCGCCAAGACAGUCUCUAUUGGAUCCAUCUUACGAAAUAAUUCAAAUGCGGAAAGACCCAAAGCUGUAGGCACAUAUGCACAGCUCUUAUAUAUGUACAGUGUUUACGUAUGUACAGCUCUUACGUAUGUACAGCGUUUACAUAUGCACAGUGUUUACAUAUGUACAGCUCUUACAUAUGUACAGCUCUUACAUAUGUACAGCUCUUACAUAUGUACAGCUCUUACAUAUGUACAGCGUUUACAUAUGCACAGUGUUUACAUAUGUACAGCGUUUACAUAUGCACAGUGUUUACAUAUGUACAGCUCUUACAUAUGUACAGCGUUUACAUAUGCACAGCGUUUACAUAUGAUGUAUGCACAGCGUUUACAGCUGAAGUUGCUCAGAA
rnacentral:lncRNA from 1 species